rnacentral:antisense_RNA from 1 species
CUUGACCGAGCCGAGCCAGAGCGGCCGACCGGUCGGACGGUCCUGCCCGUACGCGCUGAGCAGCGCCUGCGCCUC